AGCAAUAGGGAACAUAAAAGUUUAUUCUAUGACCAAAACUUCAAUAUUCAUGCUAGACAAUUACCACUCCCUAAAUCUACAUUCUGGGGCAAAAUGAAUACUAAAUGCUUGGUCUCAGCUAUGGCUAAUUUGGAACCUGUUCUCUGUACUCUGAGCAGUGCUGGGGAAAGAUGGCAGAUUUAUCCUGAUGACAAACCAACUUGACUGUUUCAAGAUGAAGUGAUUUUAUUAGAAUCGUCCGAAUCAAUUACAAAGAACUAUUUAUGUUUUUUUUUUGUUUACUCUCACAAGUGAAGGCAAAAGCAAGAGAAAAAACUCAAAUGUCAUUGCCAAGAAUACUCCAUUUUAUGCAUUUUAAUUCCUUAUGAAACAUAUGUUGCUCCAAAACAUAACAUAAAAAUUAUCCGUAAAGAAAAUUAAUAUAAAAAUAUAGAGAUGUUUUAAGCGAUGUAUGUCAACUAUAAAACCAAGAAUAAGAUGCAGUAAAGCAUUAUAUUUUAAAACAAAAUUUAAAAAUAUGGUUUGAAAGUUUCACACAUACACACACAAUUUUUUACUUCAUCAAUCUCUCACCCAUCUCUGUUUCCCCAUUAAAUCCUUCCUUUAUGGUGAGUCUCCCACCUAAUUUUACAUAUUUUUUUUUGUUUUUCUAGUGUACUGAAUUUAAUAAGAGGUUUUGUCUUUUCCUUUAUAUGUAAAAGAGUAUAUUUACUGAAGCAAUGUUAGUUUAUCUGUUACUAUACUGUUGAAUAAAAUGAUACUCUUUAUUCUAACAACCAUUAUUUUCCAAUAAUCCCUACUGGAUAGGCUAGGAUCUCAUGUUCACCUUCUCAGUCCACAAUAAAAGGUUGAUGGGUCCAGUCUUCUGUACCUUUCAGGCAGAUACACACCUAUUGUGAACUCUUGAGAGCAGGGGUCACGUCCAAUCUAGAAGAUAUAUUUUGACUCCCUAUCUCCCCAAUCUGAGUGUCUUUCUUUCAUUCUGUCACAUCUUAUGCAACAUUCCAAGGGCCUCAUUGUAUUGUUCUUUUUCUUAGACAAGUGUGUUCUGCUGUUAUAUUUACAAAGAGUGCACAUUUUAAGAAACAUACAUUCACUGUUGUAGUUUAAUAGUGCAGGGAGUUGCUCUAUUAGCAGGUAUGGCCUUGUUGGAGGAAUUGUAUCACUGUGGGGUGGGAUUUGAGACCCUGCUCCUAGCCACAUGGGAGACAGUCUUCUGUUUGUCUUUGGAACAAGAUGUAGGACCCUCAACUCCUCUAGUGCCAUGCUAAUCUGGACUCUACCAUACUUCCUAGCUUGAUGGUAAUUGAACUGCUGACCCUGUAAGCCAGCUUCUUUUAAAUGUUGUCCAUUUUAAUAGUUGCCUUGGUGUGGUACAUUUUCACAAUGGAGUACUACUCAGCUAUUAAAAAUAAUGAAUUUAUGAAAUUCUUGGACAGAUGGAUGUGUCUGGAGGAUAUCAUGCUGAGUGAGGUAACCCAAUCACAAAAGAAGUCACUUGAUAUGCACUCAUUGAUAAGUGGAUAUUAGCCCCGAAUCUUAGAAUACCCAAGAUACAAUUUGCAAAACACAAGAAAAUCAAGAAGAAGGAAGACCAACGGGUGGAUACUUCAUUCCUCCUUAGAAUAAGGAAAAAAAUACCCAUGGAAGGAGUUACAGAGACAACAUUGGGAGCUAAGACAAAAGGAUGGACCAUCCAGAGACUAACCCACCCAGGGAUCCAUCCCAUAAUCAGUCACCAAACACAGACACUAUUGCAUAUGCCAGCAAGAUUUUGCUGAAAGGACUCUGAUAUAGCUGUCUUGUGUGAGGCUAUGCCAGUGGUGGUAAAUACAGAAGUGGAUGUUAGCAGUCAUCUAUAAGAUGGAAUACAGGGCCCCCAAUGAGGAGCUAGAGAAAAUACCCAAAAUGCUGAAGAGAUCUGUAACUCUAUAGUUAGAACAACAAUAUGAACUAACCAGCACCCCCAGAGCUCGUGUCUCUAGCUGCAUAUGUAGCAGAAGAUGGCCUAGUUAGCCAUCAUUGGGAAGAGAGGCCCCUUGGUCUUGCUAACUUUAUAUGCUCCACCCAGUACAGGGGAACAUCAGGGCCAAGAAGUGGGAGUAUGUGGGUAGGGAAGCAGGGGGGGAGUAUAGGGAUAGCAUUUGAAAUGUAAAUAAAGGAUAGCAUUUGAAAUGUAAAUAAAUAAAAUAUCUAAUUAAAAAAAGAGAGAAAAAAAUAGUUGCCUUGGACAUGGUGUCUCCUCACAGCAAUGGAAACCCUAACUAAGACACUCACCCAACAUUUUAAAACUUCUUCAUAUUGCUGUAAAUAAUGCUUUCAGAUAUACUACCACAUAAACAUAUUAAUCAAAUUAAUAUUCGUUCAAGUCUUUAUACAUUUAAACUGUUUCAGAUUCCGAAGUAUUCUCUGGACUUUAUAGGUCUUCCCAGAAUUUGAAGAAACCACAAACUAUCAUUUCUCUUUAGCUGAACUUUUAUUAUAGAGGACAUGGUGACUCCCUACAGUUUUAGAGUUGACAUUUAAGUUUAUGAUAGAGAUAAGAAAACCAUUAGUGUUUACCAGAUAAAGAAACAGCAAAAUAAUAUAAGUAAUAUAUCUUUAUUUUCAUAUAUCUAUACUUACAAAGAGGAAUGCCAGAACUAAGUGAACAAUAUAAAAAUAAAAUUUCCAUUGAUUAAUGCCAUUAAAAGUACACAAAUACUAAACCUAUCAUGAAUUUUACUAUUUUCAUCUGUGAAGUCGGGGGCAGAAUUGCCUGUGUGUCUAUGUGUGUGUGUGGGGGGGUAUAUAUUUGUUUUUGUGCAUGUGUGUUACAAGUCUUUCAAUCAAAUUUGAAAGCCUGUGGAAGCUCAGGCUCAGUGUCACAACCCAGCAACUAAUUAUAAAAUACUUGAUGAAAACUGUGAUCUGCCAUGUGUUUCUUCAUAGGCAUUACUUGCCAGAAUAUAAAAAGUAAUAAAUAAUAAACUAAUACUCUAUAGAUACUUAAACCUUUACUAUUCUCUCUCUGUGUGAUAUUGUAAAAGAAUUAUAAAACACACACCAGGGCACAGUUCCACUUAUGCCUGCAUGAGUGUGCCAAGCCCUAGUAACUGAUGCCAUGGCUUGUGGAUGGUGAAAUGAUUAAGGUGUUGUGAGGAUUUUGCAUCAUCUGAACAGUUAGCUGUUGCCAAAGUGAAGAGAUAGCUGGUUCAUGUUUUAUAAUGGGAAAUUGUUGUGUCGAGCUUCAAGGGUCAGUGUUUAUUAUGACUUUUUUCAGUCCCCAAAUGGUUCUAUUCUCUAGAUGUCUGAAAUAUGCAAUCUGAAAUCCUUAAUAUAAUUGAAUCUAAUUUUAUG
rnacentral:lncRNA from 1 species